GGUGCUAUAGUGUAGUGGUCAUCACUCGGGAUUUUGAUUCGCGAUCAAGGCGAUAGACAAAUACUUCCCGAAACCCAGGUUCGAACCCUGGUAGCACCU